rnacentral:lncRNA from 1 species
UUGAAAAGGGAGUAUAUAUUUCUUUUAGGGAUAAUACCCUUGGCUUAUGAAAUUCAUGUAGAAUUUUACUUUAAAGAAGAACCAUCAAUUCAGUUCAGAGCCAGAUUGUUGCGACCGGAAAGUUGAAGGGGCAGCUCCUUGUAAAUCAGAAUAGGUUCACUGACCUGAGCAAGGUUGUACUUAUUUAAACCAGGGUAGGCCCACUUCCAAUCAUUUUAGAAGUCUGGGUAUCAAUAGAAAUACUCCUAUGAUUUUAGUUCAGUGUUAGGGAAAGGAGUUGUCCCUUCUGAGCCUCUAGGAGCUGAAGGAGUAUGCUGGUAGGAGAGAGUGGGGAGCUGAAAUGGUUGAAUUCAGAAGUUAAAUGGACUGGUCUGUGUUUGGGGUUCACUAAGCAGAUAAAGCAAGAUGCAGGCUGAGAGCUUAGUUAAAGAGGGAAAACUUUUUUUUUUUAAGCUAGAAAACUUUAAGAAGUGAAACUGCAAUGAAUUAAUCUGAAGGCACAGAGAUAACAAAAAUAAGUUAUUCAUCCAUAUACACAUACAUGCAUACGUAUGCUUGUAUAAUCUGCAGAAAUGUCAAAAUAUAGGGCGAUAGCCAGGACAUUACUCGCAGAGGCUAUCAAAAGCUUUUAUGGGAACUACAUAUACAGCUCCCAGGAUGUACCCACAGCUGUCUGCAUCUGCUCUCCAAGAAGAGGAUCACCUUGUCUACAGCAGCAGGGCAAAUAGGAGAUGGCAGCAAUUUUGCGAUAGGAGGCUAGGAGAAAGGAGAUGCUCAGAUGACAAAGGGGAGCUGAGUAACACAAUGACCUUAUGUCCCUUCUCUCUAUGUGGUACUUGCGAUGUCCCUGAAUGA